CGUAACAAGGUCUCCGUAGGUGAACNUGCGNNNGGAUCAUUACACAAAUAUGAAGGCGGGCUGGAACCUCUCGGGGUUACAGCCUUGCUGAAUUAUUCACCCUUGUCUUUUGCGUACUUCUUGUUUCCUUGGUGGGUUCGCCCACCACUAGGACAAACAUAAACCUUUUGUAAUUGCAAUCAGCGUCAGUAACAAAUUAAUAAUUACAACUUUCAACAACGGAUCUCUUGGUUCUGGCAUCGAUGAAGAACGCAGCGAAAUGCGAUAAGUAGUGUGAAUUGCAGAAUUCAGUGAAUCAUCGAAUCUUUGAACGCACAUUGCGCCCUUUGGUAUUCCAAAGGGCAUGCCUGUUCGAGCGUCAUUUGUACCCUCAAGCUUUGCUUGGUGUUGGGCGUCUUGUCUCUAGCUUUGCUGGAGACUCGCCUUANAGUAAUUGGCAGCCGGCCUACUGGUUUCGGAGCGCAGCACAAGUCGCACUCUCUAUCAGCAAAGGUCUAGCAUCCAUUAAGCCUUUUUUUCAACGUUUGACCUCGGAUCA
rnacentral:rRNA from 1 species